UACGGAGGGUGCAAGCGUUGCUCGGAAUUAUUGGGCGUAAAGCGCGUGUAGGCGGUUACCUAAGUCUGAUGUGAAAGCCCGGGGCUUAACCCCGGAACUGCAUUGGAUACUGGGUGACUAGAGGUCGAGAGAGGGUGGUGGAAUUCCUGGUGUAGGGGUGAAAUCCGUAGAUAUCAGGAGGAACAUCAGUGGCGAAGGCGGCCACCUGGCUCGAUUCUGACGCUGAGACGCGAAAGCGUGGGGAGCAAACAGG
rnacentral:rRNA from 1 species